rnacentral:rRNA from 1 species
UGCAGCAAUGCAAGGCAUACGGCUCAGUAACGCGUAGUCAACCUAACCUAUGGACGGRAAUAACCUCGGGAAACUGAGAAUAAUGYCCGAUAGAACACYAUACCUGGAAUGGUUUGUGUUCCAAAUGAUUUAUCGCCGUAGGAUGGGACUGCGGCCUAUCAGUUUGUUGGUGAGGUAAUGGCCCACCAAGACUAUUACAGGUACGGGCUCUGAGAGGAGUAGCCCGGAGAUGGGUACUGAGACACGGACCCAGGCCCUAUGGGGCGCAGCAGGCGAGAAAACUUUGCAAUGUGCGAAAGCACGACAAGGUUAAUCCGAGUGRUUUCUGCUAAAGGAACCUUUUGUUAGUYCUAGAAAYACUAACGAAUAAGGGGUGGGCAAGUUCUGGUGUCAGCCGCCGCGGUAAAACCAGCACCUCAAGUGGUCAGGAUGAUUAUUGGGCCUAAAGCAUCCGUAGCCGGCUCUGUAAGUUUUCGGUUAAAUCUGUACGCUUAACGUACAGGCUGCCGGGAAUACUGCAGAGCUAGGGAGUGGGAGAGGUAGACGGUACUCGGUAGGAAGGGGUAAAAUCCUUUGAUCUAUUGAUGACCA